rnacentral:rRNA from 1 species
AACGAACGCUGGCGGCAUGCCUAACACAUGCAAGUCGAACGAUGCCUUCGGGCAUAGUGGCGCACGGGUGCGUAACGCGUGGGAAUCUGCCUUUCGGUUCGGAAUAACUCAGGGAAACUUGAGCUAAUACCGGAUAACGUCGCAAGACCAAAGAUUUAUCACCGAAAGAUGAGCCCGCGUAGGAUUAGCUAGUUGGUGAGGUAAAGGCUCACCAAGGCGACGAUCCUUAGCUGGUCUGAGAGGAUGAUCAGCCACACUGGGACUGAGACAGGGCCCAGACUGGGACAGGAAGCAGCAGCGGGGAAUAUUGGACAAGGGGGGAAAGGCUGAGCUAGCAAUACCGCGUGGGUUGAGAAGCACCACGGGGGGGAAAGCCAUUUUGGGGGGAAAGAAAAGAAGCAGCUUAAAACGCCGAGGUAAUGACGGGACCAAAAGAAUAAGCACCGGCUAACUUCGUG